AUCCAACAAGGAUGUAGCUGAGAUCAGGUGGAGCUUAUACAUCAGAGCACCCAGUGCAUAAUUUCUAAGAAUGGUUAUGGAAAGAGAAGCACUCACCUGAAAACAUCAACACCUACCUUAGCAACAAGCAGUUUGGAGAUUAUCCGCCUGCCUCUCUUUGGUCUCCAAUUCAAGAAUCCAGCCAUGGAACAAAACUAAAACACUAAGAUCACAAUUCCCAUUACAUAAAAUGCUCAAUGCCGAAUCUCUCAGUAAGGACGGGAUCGAUUUCCACCAUGCUGAUGUCUAUCAGGUCCAGAGCCUCCGUCCUUA
rnacentral:misc_RNA from 1 species